GGAACUCCGGUAAUGAGAUACUCUGUGAGAUAUCGUGCUGAAUGUGAGACUGAAGAGGAGCUCCAGCGUUCAGACUGAAAACAGGAUGUCCCUAACAGUGGCCAGGACUGAGGGGGUGACUGUAUUCAGCAUCACCUCCAAUCCAAAGAGCAAAUGUCCACUGAUCUUCCUGCUUCUACGCACCAUCUGCUGUAGCCCGAUUUGCUUAGUGUCUCGGAACCUGAAGCAGGAGCUGGGCUCUACUUACACAGUUCUGGGGGCUUUACAGAUUCUGGUUGGUGUAAUGAAUGUGGGAUUCGCAUGCAUCGUUAAAAUCUUUGAAAUGCCCACUAUGCUUUUUCAGGCCUACAUUUCACUGGGAGGGCUGAUGAUGCAGAUAGGGCUGGAGAUCACCAUGAUUGUGUUGGGCGUCCUUCAGUUUUAUGUCACGGUCAGCUGGUGUGUUCUGAGCAUGCAGGUUCUGUACAAGGAGAAGAAAGGAGUCAUGAUGGUAAAGAUGUCUUUUAAAGAGUGCUGAUAAUGUUAACAUGUUAACGCAUGUGCUUAAUCUGGAA
rnacentral:lncRNA from 1 species